CAAUAAUCGUAAUAAUAUUUUCGUGAUGUAAUUUUGUAGGCAGCUGGCGUACUUGAUGAGAAAAGUAGGUUAAAGCUGAUCUGGCAAAUGCGCAAUCAGAACUGUUAACAAUGUCGCAAUCUGCGGACGGAGAUGAAUUCAAGGAACUGGAGAAGAGAAUGGAAUCUGUAAAACUAGAAAUAGAUAUUCUUAUGUAUGACAUUAGCGUGAGGGCAUGCUCUUUCCACCAGAUGUUGCUACAUGGCUCUUAGGAAUCGACAAUCGAGGGAUAGUGG